rnacentral:lncRNA from 1 species
AUUAGCUGUCUCCUGGUGACUACCUGAGAAGUGGCCAUGCAGAGUUUAAUUGAAUCUGAUGAAAGCCCUCAUGGAGAUUAAAGGUGCUUGCUGCUGCAGAUCUUCCCGUGCCCUUCUACCUUGACCAGACCUAGCUGGACGCAGCAGUCUGCAAUUCGGGAGUGCGGCAACUUUGUCUGCACCUCUGUCCUGAGAUGCCCCGCAUGCGGAAUGAUGGGAAAUAAAUAUCCAUUGCUCAAAA